AUGUACGAGGCCACUGACAUCCUUGAUCUCUGCCAGCUCGAGGCCAUGGACCAACAGGAACAGGACAAGCAACACUCCAGGGGCUUAUGCCUCCGGCUCCGGGAGAAGCUGCCAUUUCUAGGGUGCCUGGGGGAAAAGCUGCAGGAUGUCCUCCAGCCCUUUCUCUUUUGCGUGCAGAACCCUGGGUUUGCCAACGAGGUAGGCAGCCGCAUCAAGAAUCUCAACGAGGAGCUGGCCACCAUCCGCCAGGGUGUCGAUGGCUUCAACUUCCACAUUGACCUUGGCUCCUACGAGGAAAGGCGGAGGCCGCUGACCAGUUCGGCCUCCUACCCCAGGCGUGAGAACGCACAGUUCGUCCAGUCAAAUCUCGUGGGGGAUCAGAUCAAGAGGAAUACAGAGGAAACUGGUGCAGAAGCUAAUCUCAACCGACCACCGCGACCACGGUAG
rnacentral:rRNA from 1 species